AAGAGCCGGGAAAAGCUCCUGAAACCAAACAAGGGACUGUAAAAAUUGCAGCACAAGCAGCUAGAAAGGAUGAAAAGAAGGAAGAUUCCAAGAAAACAAAAACACCUGCAGAAG